rnacentral:rRNA from 1 species
UACGAAGGGGGCUAGCGUUGUUCGGAUUUACUGGGCGUAAAGCGCACGUAGGCGGAUCGUUAAGUCGGGGGUGAAAUCCUGGAGCUCAACUCCAGAACUGCCUUCGAUACUGGCGAUCUUGAGUCAGGAAGAGGUGAGUGGAACUCCUAGUGUAGAGGUGGAAUUCGUAGAUAUUAGGAAGAACACCAGUGGCGAAGGCGGCUCACUGGUCCGGUACUGACGCUGAGGUGCGAAAGCGUGGGGAGCAAACAGG